CUUAGUCACUGCUGCUUACAGGGAGGAUAGGGAGGGGCAAGGUGGUGGCGGCAGAUCAGUGCAGUGCAAAUGCAUCAGCAGCAGCACUGGAUUGGCACCGCUGGUGCAUUUGCACCACAUUGACUUCCCUGACGCCUUGCCCCCCUCCCAGUAAACAGCAGCGACUCA